rnacentral:rRNA from 1 species
UACAGAGGUCCCAAGCGUUUGUUCGGAUUCACUGGGCGUAAAGGGUGCGUAGGUGGUUGGGUAAGUUUGAUGUGAAAUCUCUGAGCUCAACUCAGAAACUGCAUUGAAUACUAUCCGGCUAGAGAAUCGGAGGGGGGACUGGAAUACUUGGUGUAGCAGUGAAAUGCGUAGAUAUCAAGUGGAACACCAGUGGCGAAGGCGAGUCCCUGGACGAUUUCUGACACUGAGGCACGAAAAGCUAGGGGAGCAGACGGG